rnacentral:rRNA from 1 species
AGUUGUAUCCUGGCUCAGGNUGAACGCUGGCGAGAUGCUUUACACAUGCAAGUCGUACGAGAGUCUUUGACUCAAGUGGCGGACGGGUGAGUAACACGUAAGAAUUUGCCUUUAGGAGGGGGACAACAGCUGGAAACGGCUGCUAAUACCCCAUAUGCUUUCGAGUGAAACGGAUUUUUCCGCCUAGAGAGAAGCUUGCGGCUGAUUAGCUUGUUGGUAAGGUAAUGGCUUACCAAGGCGACGAUCAGUAUCUGGUUUGAGAGGAUGAUCAGACACACUGGAACUGAGACACGGUCCAGACUCCUGCGGGAGGCAGCAGUGGGGAAUUUUCCGCAAUGGGCGAAAGCCUGACGGAGCAAUCUCGCGUGAGGGAUGACUGCCUAUGGGUUGUAAACCUCUUUUUUCAGGGAGGAAUAAAUGACGUGUACCUGAAGAAUAAGCAUCGGCUAACUCCGUGCCAGCAGCCGCGGUAAUACGGAGGAUGCAAGUGUUAUCCGGAAUCACUGGGCGUAAAGCGUCUGUAGGUUGUUUAAUAAGUCAACUGUUAAAUCUUGAAGCUCAACUUCAAAAUCGCAGUCGAAACUGUUAGACUAGAGUAUAGUAGGGGUAAAGGGAAUUUCCAGUGGAGCGGUGAAAUGCGUAGAUAUUGGAAAGAACACCGAUGGCGAAGGCACUUUACUGGGCUAUUACUGACACUCAGAGACGAAAGCUAGGGUAGCAAAUGGGAUUAGAUACCCCAGUAGUCCUAGCUGUAAACAAUGGAUACUAGAUGUUGAACAGAUCGACCUGUGCAGUAUCAAAGCUAACGCGUUAAGUAUCCCGCCNGGGAAGUAUGCUCNCAAGAGUGAACUCAAAGGAAUUGACNGGGGC